UACGUAGGGUGCGAGCGUUAAUCGGAAUUACUGGGCGUAAAGCGUGCGCAGGCGGCUUGCAAGACAGAUGUGAAAUCCCCGGGCUUAACCUGGGAACUGCAUUUGUGACUGCAUGGCUGGAGUGCGGCAGAGGGGGAUGGAAUUCCGCGUGUAGCAGUGAAAUGCGUAGAUAUGCGGAGGAACACCGAUGGCGAAGGCAAUCCCCUGGGCCUGCACUGACGCUCAUGCACGAAAGCGUGGGGAGCAAACAGG
rnacentral:rRNA from 1 species